CCUACGGGAGGCAGCAGUGAGGAAUAUUGGUCAAUGGGCGCGAGCCUGAACCAGCCAAGUAGCGUGAAGGAUGACUGCCCUACGGGUUGUAAACUUCUUUUAUAAAGGAAUAAAGUGAGGCACGUGUGCCUUUUUGUAUUUACUUUAUGAAUAAGGAUCGGCUAACCCCGCGCCAGCAGCCGCGGUAAUAUAGUGGGUCCGAGCGUUACCCGGAUUUAAUGGGUUUAAAGGGAGCGUAGAUGGGGGGUUAAGUCAGUUGUGAAAGUUUGGGGCUCAACCGGAGAAUGUCAAUUGAUACUGGCAGUCUUGAGUACAGUAGAGGUAGGUGGAAUUCGUGGUGUAGCGGUGAAAUGCGUAGAUA
rnacentral:rRNA from 1 species